AUGGCGGUGGUGUAAGGCGUAGCAUCACUGCCUGGAAAGCAGAAGGUGCGGGUUCGAGUCCUGCCUGGCGCA
rfam:Heligmosomoides polygyrus genome assembly, scaffold: HPBE_scaffold0003462